ACCUGCGGAAGGAUCAUUGUCGUGACCCUGACCAAAACGGACCGUGAACAUGUUAUCCAUGCUGCCGGGUGAUGGGUCUUGCACCUGUCACUCGAGACAGGGUGCCAACCCUCUUCGGAGUUGAGGCACCCUAAAAGAACCCACGGCGCCCUAGGCGUCAAGGAAUACUGAUGCUUCCUUGCAUGGGAGUGGACCGGCUUGCCGGUUUCACCUUGUGCAAUGAUUAUAUGAUAGUCCACAUGACUCUCGGCAACGGAUAUCUUGGCUCUCGCAUCGAUGAAGAACGUAGCAAAAUGCGAUACCUGGUGUGAAUUGCAGAAUCCCGUGAACCAUCGAGUUUUUGAACGCAAGUUGCGCCCGAGGCCUUCUGGUCGAGGGCACGUCUGCCUGGGUGUCACGCCAAAAGGCACUUCGCAACAAUUGUGUUGUGGAUGUGGUAUUUGGCUCCUUGUGUGUAGUCACAGAGGGCCUAAGUACGGGCUGCCGGUGUUGCCGAUCACAGCACAAGGUGGAUAGCGAAAGUUGUUCUCGGUGCUAUGUUUUGGACUUAACUCGGAUAUACCCUUGUCACCCAUGUACCGAAUAGUACAUUGCUCGGACCGCGACCCCAGGUCAGUCGGGACUACCCGCUGAAUUUAAGCAUAUCAAUAAGCGG
rnacentral:rRNA from 2 species